GACGAACGCUGGCGGCGCGCUUAACACAUGCAAGUCGAACGGAAAGGCCUGCUUUCCCUUGUGGAUUGCGGGUACUCGAGUGGCGAACGGGUGAGUAACACGUGAGUGAUCUGCCCCCAACUUGGGUAUAAGCCUGGGAAACUGGGUCUAAUUCCCGAUAGGACUGCAGGGUGGUGCCUGUGGUGGAAAACGAUUUUCUAGUGGUUGGGGAUGAGCUCGCGGCCUAUCAGCUUGUUGGUGGGGUAAUGGCCUACCAAGGCGGCGACGGGUAGCCGGCCUGAGAGGGUGGACGGCCACAUUGGGACUGAGAUACGGCCCAGACUCCUACGGGAGGCAGCAGUGGGGAAUAUUGCACAAUGGGCGGAAGCCUGAUGCAGCGACGCCGCGUGGGGGAUGACGGCCUUCGGGUUGUAAACUCCUUUCGACCGCGAGGAAGCCACCUGGUUGGAAGGGUGGUGACGGUAGUGGUAGAAGAAGCACCGGCUAACUACGUC
rnacentral:rRNA from 1 species